rnacentral:rRNA from 1 species
CAGUCGCCGCGGGAAUACGUAGGUCCCGAGCGUUGUCCGGAUUUAUUGGGCGUAAAGCGAGCGCAGGCGGUUAGAUAAGUCUGAAGUUAAAGGCUGUGGCUUAACCAUAGUAUGCUUUGGAAACUGUUUAACUUGAGUGCAGAAGGGGAGAGUGGAAUUCCAUGUGUAGCGGUGAAAUGCGUAGAUAUAUGGAGGAACACCGGUGGCGAAAGCGGCUCUCUGGUCUGUAACUGACGCUGAGGCUCGAAAGCGUGGGGAGCAAACAGGAUUAGAUACCCGUGUAGUCCCUGUCUCUUAUACA